AUUGAACGCUGGCGGCAGGCCUAACACAUGCAAGUCGAGCGGUAGCACAGAGAGCUUGCUCUCGGGUGACGAGCGGCGGACGGGUGAGUAAUGUCUGGGAAACUGCCUGAUGGAGGGGGAUAACUACUGGAAACGGUAGCUAAUACCGCAUAAUGUCGCAAGACCAAAGAGGGGGACCUUCGGGCCUCUUGCCAUCAGAUGUGCCCAGAUGGGAUUAGCUAGUAGGUGGGGUAACGGCUCACCUAGGCGACGAUCCCUAGAUGGUCUGAGAGGAUGACCGGCCACACUGGAACUGGGACACGGUCCAGACUCCUACGGGAGGCAGCAGUGGGGAAUAUUGCACAAUGGGCGCAAGCCUGAUGCAGCCAUGCCGCGUGUAUGAAGAAGGCCUUCGGGUUGUAAAGUACUUUCAGCGGGGAGGAAGGUGUUGUGGUUAAUAACCACAGCAAUUGACGUUACCCGCAGAAGAAGCACCGGCUAACUCCGUGCCAGCCGCCGCAGUAAGAC
rnacentral:rRNA from 1 species